ACCGUCUUCAUGAGAGCAGCUGUGUUCCUGGCCCUGCCUGGGAGCUCACGAUGGUCCUGCUUACAGGGCGAAUUUUGUGCUGAGGCGAUCUCGUGAACCCUUGUGGGACCUCAGACAAGUCCCUUCCAUCUCUGAACACCAGUGUCUCCGGAAGAGCGGUGGCCCAGACGCUGCAGCUUCGCCAGCAGCAUGGUGCGGGCCCAUGCGAAGGACCGUUCCUAACUGCAGGACGGAGGCUCUGUGGAUGCUGGACAGUCACAUAAUGACAUGGGGCUGACCACAAGAGCACCGGGAUAGUAAAUGUCACAGCAGAGACUCAGAAGCACACCGCAUUUGCCCGGUCAGAGGCUGUCUGCAAGUAAUACCACCAACACAACAGAAUGAUCAUUUGUUGAAGGUCUAUGUUAUUUCUAACCUCACAUUAACUUUGCAAGGUAGGUAUUGCUAAAUCCCGUGUUACACGUGGGGAAAUUGAAGAUUAGAGACGGUGACUAACUCCUGCGAGCUCACCUGCAAGCGAGGCUCACCAGGAUUGGAAAGCAGUCAGCCUGGCUUCAAGAGCCUGGGUGUUUCCUGUUCCAGUAGCCGGGCUGUGAGUGCAGCCUCCUGGGAA